AAUAUUGGAAAAUGGGGGCAACCCUGAUCCAGCCAUGCCGCGUGUGUGAAGAAGGUCUUCGGAUUGUAAGGCACUUUAAGUUGGGAGGAAGGGCUUUAGGUUAAUAACCUGAGGGUGUGACGUUACCUACAGACUAAGCACCGGCUAACUCUGUGCCAGCAGCCGCGGUAAUACAGAGGGUGCAAUCGUUAAUCGGAAUUACUGGGCGUAAAGCGCGCGUAGGUGGUUCAGUAAGAUGGGUGUGAAAUCCCCGGGCUUAACCUGGGAACUGCUUUCAUAACUGCUGAGCUAGAGUACGGUAGAGGGUAGUGGAAUUUCCUGUGUAGCGGUGAAAUGCGUAGAUAUAGGAAGGAACACCAGUGGCGAAGGCGACUACCUGGACUGAUACUGACACUGAGGUGCGAAAGCGUGGGGAGCAAAC
rnacentral:rRNA from 1 species